CUUUGCUUUGUAGCUGGCUUGGUGGCAUGCUCACCAGUACCACCCUUGGAGUCUGAGUACUUGUAAUGGAUUCGUGAUGUGUUUGUUGAAUGUCGACCAGCCUCUUCUUGCAACACAAAUGACCAUAGCUCUCCGUUCAUUACUGGCUACUGGUGUAUUUUUCGACGCACCUACUUUGACGACAAUUGUGUAAUUCAGCACCAGAAUGAGUCGUAGAACAUGUCGUUACUUUGCUCAGUCAGGGUAUUGCUUUUACGGCGACGCCUGCCAGUUUCUUCACGACUCAAACGGAGGUACAAGCAAUACUCCUACUGAAGCUGCCAACGGUUCUUCCAAACCUAGACAGUUUCAGGAAAGUGACUCACCAAGCUCUUUAAGUGCGUCAGCUUCUCAGGCUAGCUAUGCUGCAAAGGCUGCUGAAUUGCCCUUGUCAGGUGUCACAUCUGGUCUUAGUGAUCUUGAUCUGGCUGGUUCUGAUCCCACAGCUGGACACCAGGAGUCCAUGGGUGGAGAAUUGCCGUCCGGACCGACCACUGCUGGCAUGGCCACCACGUCAAUGGUGACAAUCGGUGAUGCACGCUAUGAUGAAGAGCAAGACGAGGAUGGCCAACAGGCAGCUGCUCUACUACCACACAUGGAUCGGGGAACCACCUACUUUGUACCCUUGGAAGAGGAAGAGCCUGGGACGGUCGGUUCCAACAUUCCAACCACGGUCUUUCCUGGAGCGCCGCCUUUCCUGCAAGCUCUGGGUGUCAAGGCUGACGAUGGACCAAAGUCCUACUUUGCAUCGUCGGAAAUAGCCGAGGAAUUAGCUAAGCGGCAGAUGCUAAGCUUUGCGCAGCCAGUCCCUGAUGAUGAGCCAGUCGCCGAGGUCGAGCAGUACAAUCAGCUGUACCGACUUGAGCCGCUGGAUCAUCCAUCUACGAAGCAGUUUUCUUCGCGCCUUUUUCACUUUCCGUCGAACUGCUACAAGGCAUUGUCUGUUCGAGAUGGACAGCCAUACUGCUUACGGCAUAUCAUAGGCUAUCGUCUGUCCAGCACAGCAUCAAUGGUUCUAAUCGAGAAGUGGAGAAAGCUGAGUCACCCAAACGUGUGCGCACUGCGCGAACUCUUCACCACUAAAGCUUUUGGUGAUAGCUCGCUUGUGUUCAUCCAUGACUACCGUCCGGGUGCCGAGACAAUGCUGCAGCGCUACUUCAACAGCCUGGGAGGACCAGCAGCUAAUCCAAGCGACGAUGAACGACAUCACAUGGCGCGCAGUAGUACUCCGGCUACACAGGCACAGUCCUCUAGUUCAAGCCCUGUUCUCUCCCCUGGCUUGAAGGAGCCUAUCAUCUGGAACUUUGUCAUACAGCUGGCAUCAGCUGUUCGAGCAGUUCAUAACGCAGGCCUGGCUUGUCGUGUGAUACACCCGAGCAAGAUCUUAGUGACUGGAAAGUCCAGACUUCACCUCAGCGGUGUUGGUAUCAUGGACAUUCUCACGUUUGACAUAGGACACACUGAUCAGAGCGCGCUCAUGCAGCAACACCAGCAAGAGGACUUGACAGCGCUGGGAGGCCUAAUCCUGUGCCUGACAUGUAACUCCAUACUGGCUGUUCAGAGUCCACAUGCUGCCAUCGACAUGUUAGGCCAGCAUUAUAGCGGAGAUCUCAAGAACAUUGUCAUAUAUCUACUGAAUCCCCAGCUGAACCGCUCAAUAAACAGCAUCAUGCCAAUGAUUGGUGCUCGUUUCUUCGGUCAUCUCGAUGCUUUGGUGUGUCAGGUUGAUGUACUGGAAGUGGAGCUAAUGAAGGAGCUUCAAAACGGGCGCCUGUUCCGUUUGCUGUGCAAGUUUGGCUUGAUCAACGAGCGCCCUGAGUUUGCCAUGGAUCCGCAGUGGUCGGAGACUGGCGAUCGCUAUCUGCUCAAGCUAUUCCGAGACUAUCUCUUCCAUCAAGUCAACAGCGAUGGCAUGCCUUGGUUCGAUCUCUCUCACAUUGUUCACUGCCUGAAUCAGCUGGAUUCCGGGUCGCCAGCCAAGAUCUGCUUGGAGUCGCGCGACGAGCAGUCAGUUAUCAUUGUGUCGUAUCACGACUUGAAACAGUGCUUUGAGAUGGCAGUGAAGGAGGUUAGCUCAGCCAGUGUGCAGCCAGGCAUGGGUGAUGAACUCGACCAGGUCAUCCCAGACAGCACCGCUGAUGCUAGCCUGCCGUACAAUUAAUGCAGCGCAGAGCCUGAAGACGGAAGACAUGGGAUUGUUACGAUCAGGUCUUUGGAAGGAUUGCAAUGACAGUGCCAGGUCUUUGUUGCUACUACUCUAGCUACAUGGUGUUUGAUGAUGGCUGUUGCUUCAACUCUCGGAUCUACAUGGUGUUUGAUGAUGGCUGUUGCUUCAACUCUUGGGUCUACGUGAUAUUGUACUUUGAAGAGGAAGGCAAUGUACGGGUACGUCUCCCCGUUGGCAAGUGUUAAGAGGAAACGGAUGUGACUGCUCCUAUUGGCCUGUCCAACAGAUACCUGUGUAGGUGUGUGUGUGUGUGUACGUGUGUAUGUGUGUGUGUAUGUGUGUGCGUGCGCGCGUGUGUGUAUGUUCAUGCGUGUGAGUGUGUGGGUGUUUGUGUGUGUGUGUGUGUGUGUGUGUGUGUGGUGUCUCAUCAAACUCCUCCCUGCAAGUAGACUAGUUCUAGGUAAGAUUCUUGCUGUAUAGCUUGCUGUAUAGCUUGCUGUAUAGCUUGCUGUAUAGCUUGCUGUAUAGCUUGCUGUAUAGCUUGCUGUAUAGCUUGCUGUAUAGCUGCUCUAUUGUACAUACAGACAGUAUGUAAACGUAUAGACAAUGUGUAUACAUACAGACACUGUGUACUACUGAACACCAUCAUCCGCCCACCUUUGAGAGCUAUAACUGUUGAUCUUUGUCCGCAUAGUGCUGUGCUGGGACCAUCUUGUCCUGGCUAACUGUAGUGUAGUCAUAUUGACUUUGAUCACUGGAAUUCCAACCUAUA